AAAAGGAAUCUCAUUGAUAAGAUCUUUUACUCGUAAUACCAUAGAGAAAUAUAAGUAAAGAAAGAGUGGUAACUCCAUACAUCAGUUUUCUUACCAAAACGCGAGUUAUUUCGUAGUCGACAUCUAGCAUCAAGUAGUGGAACUAUCAGUACCGCUACUUGACACCAGGUGGUAUUUGUUUCGCUACUGACGAACAAUGUACUGCUAAAACAA